UGUACAUUGGGGGCACUGUCGUACUCAGGACAUGUUGCUGAACACAUAUUGGGGUGCUCUUUGUCAGUAACACAUAACCGGAACUGAGAAUCCAUGCCUAAAGUACAAUGUGAGAGAAAAAUAACACAAAAAAAUUACUACCCAAAAGGUUGACUAAGACUGGUGGUAGAAUUAGUGCAUGGAAAAUGUUAAAAUACCACCAUUUGAAAUAUCCUAGGGUGUCUAAUUUUCAAAAAU